CACGCACACACACACACACACACACACACACACACACACACACACACACACACACACACACACACACACACACACACACACACACACACACACACACACACACACACACACAGAAACAUGUCUUCAAUGACAAAAAAAUGUGAUUGAUUGUAGAUCAAAGCAACCUUCUUAAAGAAUAGCAACCCUCCAUUCUGCUGCUAAUCACAAACUGAUUGAUUAUGUCAGGAAACCUUCAGUGAUGUCCGAGAGGAGAUUAACAUGAGCUAAUCACAUGCUUUAACCAAAGAGCAACAAUUCAUCUGUGAGAGGGAAUACAAUCCAUCACCUAAAAACCAGUCCCGCCCACUAAGGACACACACACACAUAUAUAUAACAGGACUGUCAACAACAGUCUGUGUCAACAUUUGAACAAGAGAAGCACGUAAAACCCUCGACUUCUGUUUUUUAAAUCAAAAUUAUAUUUCUCUUGAUUUUUGGAGUUUAAAGGUUUUUUAAAUUGGAGGAACAAUGGGAAACGAGAACUCGAAAAACGAAGACCAAACCGAGGAUGUGAAUAUUUCAGAGAAGCAUCAGAACGGAUCAGUGAGCGGCAGCGUCACGCUGAACGGCGGGCCGGAAAUCGACGGUAAAGAUCCAGCUGUGGUCAAACAGAACGAAGAACCCGUGACUUUAAACCUCGCCAUCGACUCAACUGAAUGUGUGGUCAUCGACUCAGAGGCCCCGCCCAACACUGCUCCAGUCUCGUCUGAAAUCUCCGCCCCUCCUGAAACACCAGAGGUCACCAAGGAGCUCCUCGUUAGUGUCCAGGUUCCCCCACAAACCCCCGAUCCCCCCAAACAGAAGGAGGAAGUCCCAAAGAAAAAGUUUUUUGGUAAAAUGUUCAAAAAGAAAGUGGAAGCAGUAGUAGACGAGCCGAGUGUGGAGGAAACGACCAUCAGUGGAGACCAGGUGGAUGCUGGUCAGACCAUCAUUACCACACAACCAGAGGCUAGAGACCCCCACCAGGACCCCUCUCAGCCACCAACGGGACCAGUAGUCAGUGUGAUUUUUAACGGGGGUCCAGACCUUCAAAGUUCUCCUGAAGUCGACAUUGGAACCAGUGUCACAGAGGAGGGGCCGGAGAAGAGAGAGGAAGAGGAGAGAAACCAAGAGGAAAAACCACCAGUUAUGAACUUCUUUAAAUCUCUGGUUGCAGAGGUAUCCGAGCCGCCCACACCACCCAAAGGAAUGUCAAUCCCUCCACCACCUCCACCAGCUCCACCAAAGCUGGAAAUCAAAGAACCAGCGGCUAAAUGUUUGAAACCAACAACCAAAGAAGAACCAACUGCUGCGAAGAAACCAGAGUCCUCGCCUGGAAAAUCAGCUUUGAGCAAAUUCUUCCGUCCAAAGACCAUCAAAGAGGCCCCGCAGCCAGAGGUAGAGGUUACACCAGUAAUAGAGGAAACACCAGUGGAGGUGUCUGAGCCUGUGUUAGCGGUGCAGCAGAGCGACGAUAAGCUCCAUCUUCAGGAGGAGACAGCCGAGGAAAUACUUGUAACCCUGGAGCAGGUGGUUGAAGAUGUGCAGACGAUGAUUGAAGAUGAGAAGGUGGACCCUCCCAAAGCUGGCACUGUGGAGGCUGCAACGAAACCAGAACCGCCAGCAGCGGGUCAGGAAGAGAAGAAGACUGGCUCCAAAUUAGGCUUCAAGUCCCUCUUCAAGUCCAAAGUUCAGAAACAUUCAGACUCCGGGGGUCAGACGGAGUAAACGCCCGCGGAGAAAACAAAAUUAAAAAAAACCAUCGCCACCAAACCCUCAAGCUUCAACGUACUCAACUCUACAAUUCCUCUGCACUCUACACUAUAUCUGCUCGGAUCAUGAAGAAAAAAGCUAUUUAAUGUAAAAUGUAAAACUGCAAACACAAGUUUUUGAUUAGAAACGCAUGAAGAGGUAAAAAGUGUCUUCUGUUAGUUUUAUAAUACAAUAAACUGGGCUUGUGGUUGUAAACA
ensembl:lncRNA proteoglycan 4-like